GGACUCAAACCAUGGUGUCAGG
rnacentral:piRNA from 1 species